UACAAUUAAAAAAGAAUAGAAAUAUUCAAUUCCAUCAAUUUUAAUUAACAUUUUUUCUUACUGAAUGGUCUGUUAUAUAUGUCAGGAGCAGGACAGUGCAUGAAGACAACUGAUACUGCUUAGUGUAAAAACCAAAUAUAAGAAUGCAGAUACCAAAAAUCAACAUGGAUAAUAUGGAAGACAAAUGCUUAACAAGUAUAUUCCAUAGGAGCAAGAGAAGAUUGGAGAAGAGGGGAGGUGUCCCAAUCCUUUGGAAAUUCUCAUUUACCUUUGUUGGUGUUCUUAUUUAUGCUGUUAUAUUAAUUAAAUUCUCUAUUGUAUGUAUUCCAAAUAUAAAAUAUACCUAACAAA